rnacentral:lncRNA from 1 species
AAAAUGUAGACUAAAUUUAAAUACCUGUAAGCAGAGUAUACCAACCUCUCAUCUCAAUUCCCACACCAACUUAGCAACUGCAGAGGUUACUUACAUGCCUGGCUGCAGAGGCACUGGAAUUUGCUACUGUUGACCUCAGUUAUUAGGGGAAAAUUAUCAUUACCUGUUGUAGAAAGAUGCUAAGCAUAUAAGGCAGACAAGAUUCUUUCACUAUGAUGGCAGAAAAUCAAGACUUGGAGGAGACUGUUAUAUAAAGUUUCUCUAACAUUCAUUACAUUUAUCUAAGGACUCUAUCAGAUACUUUCAGUGUGGUCUCUCCUAAGUUCAUUGAAAUUCAAAAUAAUUAAUUGAAGUAAAGCCCUGCAUUUGUGCAUGCGUUCUGAGCAAUUAAGUGGAGUGAAACACAUGUAUUGCUAAUCUUGCAUGCUGUGAUUAAGAUAGAAAUGAAGACGUCCAUCAAACGAGAUUACUUCUUCAUCAACAAGGCUCAGAAAUGUUUCUACAGCUGUUUAGAUCGUUUUAAUUGUAUCAGAGCCUCUCACAUCAUGGUUUAAGUGAGGCACUAUUUCCCCCCAUUAAAAAAGAGAAUAUGAAGAUAUGAGAGUAUACUAAUCCGCAUGUGAAAGAAAUCACAAUGCAUUUAAAGGUUUCUUUACCAAUAAAAUUAGAUUAGCUAAAGAAACAAAAGGCAUUUGUGUGUUUAUGAUCUAUUUUCAUACUUAACUGCACAAACACG